UGUUUGAUCUAUCACCUGCGCUGCUGCGCU
rnacentral:sRNA from 1 species